rnacentral:tRNA from 1 species
GGCUCAGAGGUUAAAGUGUCUGCCUGGAAUGCAGGAGACCCAGGUUCGAUCCCUGG